GACGAACGCUGGCGGCGUGCUUAACACAUGCAAGUCGAACGGAAAGGCCCUGCUUUUGUGGGGUGCUCGAGUGGCGAACGGGUGAGUAACACGUGAGUAACCUGCCCUUGACUUUGGGAUAACUUCAGGAAACUGGGGCUAAUACCGGAUAGGAGCUCCUGCUGCAUGGUGGGGGUUGGAAAGUUUCGGCGGUUGGGGAUAGACUCGCGGCUUAUCAGCUUGUUGGUGGGGUAGUGGCUUACCAAGGCUUUGACGGGUAGCCGGCCUGAGAGGGUGACCGGCCACAUUGGGACUGAGAUACGGCCCAGACUCCUACGGGAGGCAGCAGUGGGGAAUAUUGCACAAUGGGCGGAAGCCUGAUGCAGCAACGCCGCGUGCGGGAUGACGGCCUUCGGGUUGUAAACCGCUUUCGCCUGUGACGAAGCGUGGGUGACGGUAAUGGGUAAAGAAGCACCGGCUAACUACGUG
rnacentral:rRNA from 1 species